rnacentral:rRNA from 2 species
GAUUUCUGGCGUUUCAUUUCAGGCCGGCCACGGUUUCGUGUGUUAGUGCUUGAGAUCUUCGCCAUCCUUCCAAUGGCUAUUCAUCCUUCUUCAUUGAAGGUGUGAGUGGUAUUGGAUCUUUUACUUUGAAAAAAUUAGAGUGUUUAAAGCAGGCUUUUGCUAUGAAUACAUUAGCAUGGAAUAAUAAUCUAGGACUUCGGUUCUAUUUUGUUGGUUUCUAUAACUGAAGUAAUGAUUGAUAGGGAUAGUUGGGGGUGCUAGUAUUGGCCGGCCAGAGGUGAAAUUCUUGGAUUCGGUCAAGACUAACUUAUGCGAAAGCAUU